GACAGAGGUCUCAAGCGUUAGGCGGAAUCACUGGGCUUAAAGCGUGUGUAGGCGGAUCGUUAAGUGCCUUGUGAAAUCCCACAGCUCAACUGUGGAACUGCUUGGCAUACUGGCGGUCUUGAGCCAUCUAGGGGUCGCUGGAACAAACGGUGGAGCGGUGAAAUGCGUAGAUAUCGUUUGGAACGCCAAUGGUGAAAACAGGCGACUGGGGAUGUGCUGACGCUGAGACACGAAAGCCAGGGGAGCAAACGGG
rnacentral:rRNA from 1 species